CUAUUUCCACUCCUUUUAUUAUUGGUACCUGAAACGGUUCUCCUUUUGCUCCUAUUACUUGCAAUUUCUCCGAGGACAGUGAGCAUCCUCGGGGCACUGACUGGACAGUAGAUCUUUCUGCCCCAGAGCCCACAAGGAACUCAACUUCUUGAUGCUGGGGACCUAAUUUUAAUUUUAUCAAGGACUCUGUUUUCUUAGGGGUCCCCAGCAUCAAGAAGUUGAGUUCCUUGUGGACUCUGGGGCAGAAAGAUCUACUGUCCAGUCAGUGCCCCGAGGAUGCUUACUGUCCUCGGAGAAAUUGCAAGUAAUAGGAGCAAAAGGGGAACCGUUUCAGGUACCAAUAAUAAAAGGAGU